UGCUUUUUUUUUCCUUUCCUAUUUUUGUUAUAAAUCGGAAAAUGUACCUCUUUGUAAUGGUACUAUUUAGCUUCAUAAAAUGAAGUAAAUAAAAAAAACUACAAUUAUUAUGAGUAAUAAUAAAAUCUUAAAAGAAAAUUGCGUUUUGUUAUAAUAUUGUGGACUUGCACAUGGGUAUUUAGCAAUUGGACACCUAUAAGGGCAUGUGGCACUAUUUGAGUAAUACACUACCUAUAAUUUUGCCAAGUGUCUAGAUGAGUAGGCAUGUUUGUAAU
rnacentral:lncRNA from 1 species